UAGGGAUGGGUAUCGUUAAGGUUUUAACGGUAUUAUCACCCUGGCCUUUUUUAGCACCAUGUACUUAUGUUUGAGCUACUGAGUUUGUUACAAACAACAUGAUUAUUUAAUUUAACACGCAAAAGUCUGAGUCUCGCUGUAUCGCUCAGGCUGCACUGCAGUGUCUAUUCACAGGCGCGACCCCACUACUGAUCGGCACGGGGGCUUUGACCUGCUCCGUCUCCGACCUGGGCCGGUUCACCCCUCCUUAGACGACCUGGUGGUCCCGAGCUCCCCCAGGAGCACCAUAUCGAUACCGAACUUAGCGCGGACACCCGAUCGACAUAGUCCACUGCAGCCCAGAACCCCUGAACUCAAGCGAUCCGCCAGCCUCAGCCUCCCAGCAGCUUGGAUUACAGGCGCGCGCCACUGCACCCGGCGAGAGCUGCGAGCACCAGCGCUGCUCCUCAAUCUAGUGCUCACUGCGCCCUCUAGUGCAGCACAGCAGAAAAAGUAUCUCUGUCUCUCUCAAAUAUAAAUGUAGAAUCGAGAAGCUUUAUUAGUAAGGAAACUUUAAAAAAUAGUUGUUUUACUCCUCAGAAUACAAUACAAAUACAAAAUUUAGUUUAGAGAUUUAAUGCACCCUUUAUAACAAAAUUGCGGUAGGUCUUCUAUUGUGUCUGGAAAGGGGAGAGAUCCUGAAACUACUCAGAGAAACUGUCAGGCUGUUUCCCUGGACUCACCUGCUUCAUGGCUGAAGAAUGAGACUUUGGACUUUGGGUCAGUCUUAUUCUAUUGUGGUUUGAUUUUCAGUUUUCUGAAUGAUGAGACAGUUGGGGUAACAAGAAAAUAUCUGCAUAAAGAUAUUGAGUCAAUUUUAAUGUUUGAAGACAAAAUGGGUGCAUUUCUUGAAACUUUAUACAGGUUCCACCUGUUUUAAUAUUUAAAAUAUACUGUAUAGUAAUGUUACACUUUUUCUCUUGCUUGCUCCUCUUUAAUGACAUUUGAUUUGGAGAACACUGGUGGAGCCUGUGGUGGCACGCAGGCCAUCAGAAUGGAAAUUCUAGAAAGACAAGCUGAUGUUGAGAAAGAGGCAGAGCGCAAAAAGCUGGAACUGAUGAAGGACAUAAAGGAACAGCCAACUCCUCUCCUGCACUAUACCAACCAACUGCAGCAGCAACAGAGCACUAGACAAUAUACACUCAGAAAACACGCAAAUGGGAAAGGAAACUGGAGGACUUGCAUUCUACUGAGAACUCCAAAAAGAGAGGAGCUCCAGUAUGUUCAGAUAAAGGUUGGGAUUUGUUCAAUUGAUCAAAUGAUCGCACCUUACUGGUGAGUCUCUGUGGAUAUUGAGGACCCCUACAAACAGUUGGAACUGAUUCAGAAACAUCUUCAGCUUGACAGAGCUAGUAGCUAAUGAGUGAAAGUUUGACGUUAUGACAACCCCAAGUCAAACUAACGAGGAUGACAAGCAGCAGAGAUUAAGAUCCAAGCUCUGAGGAUGGUUAUGCACUGAAAACAGUCAGAUCUGCCUCUAUUCCACUACACAGUGCUCACAUUUCACAAAAUCAACAACUGAUGAAUUAAACACCACUUUUUUCUUGUUCAAUAAGCUGGAAAUCACUCACAAAUAUGUCACAACAGUUUGUACAUUGUCCCAUUUUCUCCAUGACAUAUGUGGUCAACAAAUAUGCAAUUAAUAUUACCAAAUGCAUAUCCUGCUGCCUAAAGCCAAAGCGGCAGACACUACCAGGGUUUGGGAGCCUCGCAGGAUGCUUUUCUGAGGCAUGGAGCGGCAGUGACAGGAACCUCUGGACCACGAGAGGAUCUUCUGCGAUCACGAUGACCAUCACAUGGAGCUCUUCCACAAAGUCGGCUGUGACAGGGCAUUUUUGGGACUGUACCUAAGCAAGUAACACUGCCUGAGACCAGGUGUGGCCAACAUCAGAGGCCUGCAGAGUUUUGCAGAGAAACUCACCUGCCUUUAGCUUUCUAUAACCUUUAGACCUCGAUUAGCUUGUGCUUGAUUAGGGUUGGAGCUGAACUCUGCAGGACUGUGGCUCUCCAGGACCAACUUUGGCCACCCCUGCGCUAGACACUAUCAAGGCUUGCCAGCCCUGCAAGAUGCUAUUGCAUUGUGGGAAGUCCUGAACUGCGGUGGUAAUUAUAGUGCUUUCAUAAAUGUGAAAAUGAUUCUAUAUACUAUCUAUACACUUAAAUAACUGCAAUAGAUCUGAGAACUACUUCUAGGAAUUAUUCCUGUUUUAUGCCGUAACAUAUAUUGUAGUAUAAUACGAUACAUGGCCCAGAAACAGUGUCCAGAUUAGGCAAGUCUUUUGUAGGAUUUUUUGAACGCUAACUUUAAAUCCAAUUGUAAU
ensembl:lncRNA